rnacentral:rRNA from 1 species
UACGGAGGAGGCAAGCGUUAUCCGGAAUUAUUGGGCGUAAAGCGUCCGUAGGUGGCUAGUCAAGUCUGCGGCCAAAGACUGGGGCUUAACCCUGGAAAGGCCGUGGAAACUGACGAGCUAGAGUGCAGUAGGGGUAGAGGGAAUUCCCGGUGUAGCGGUGAAAUGCGUAGAGCUCGGGAAGAACAUCGGUGGCGAAAGCGCUCUACUGGACUGCAACUGACACUCAGGGACGAAAGCUAGGGGAGCGAAUGGG